rnacentral:rRNA from 1 species
GGGACACGUGAAACCCUGUGGGAAGCAGGAGGGACCACCCUCCAAGGCUAAAUACUACCUAGUGACCGAUAGCGUAUAGUACCGUGAGGGAAAGGUGAAAAGAACCCCGGGAGGGGAGUGAAAUAGAACCUGAAACCCUGCACUUACAAGCUGUGGAAGCACAUUUCUUGUGUGACCGCGUACUUUUUGUAGAACGGGCCAACGAGUUACGUUAAGUAGCAAGGUUAAGCACUUAAGGUGCGGAGCCGUAGCGAAAGCGAGUUUUAACUGAGCGUUCAGUUACUUGACGUAGACCCGAAACCGGGCGACCUACCCAUGAGCAGGAUGAAGCGAAAGUAAAAUUUCGUGGAGGUCCGAACCCACGAGCGUUGAAAAGCUCGGGGAUGACUUGUGGGUAGCGGUGAAAUUCCAAUCGAGCCCGGAGAUAGCUGGUUCUCCCCGAAAUAGCUUUAGGGCUAGCCUCAAGGUGAGAGAUACGGAGGUAGAGCACUGAAUGUCCUAGGGGGUAUUGCACCUACCGAAGACUAUCAAACUCCGAAUGCCGUCAUCUUAUACUUGGGAGUCAGACUGUGGGUGAUAAGAUUCAUAGUCGAAAGGGCAACAGCCCAGAUCGUCAGCUAAGGUCCCUAAAUGUAAGUUAAGUGGUAAAGGAUGUGGGAUUGCACAGACAACCAGGAUGUUGGCUUAGAAGCAGCCACUCAUUCAAAGAGUGCGUAAUAGCUCACUGGUCGAGUGAUCCUGCGCCGAAGAUUUCCGGGGCUAAAACUUACUACCGAAGCUACGGCAUCAGUAAUGAUGGGUAGGGGAGCUUCCCAUACGGGUUGAAGCAUGACCGUAAGGACAUGUGGACAGUAUGGGAGUGAGAAUGUUGGCAUGAGUAGCGAGAUGUGGGUGAGAAUCCCACAGGCCGUAAACCCAAGGUUUCCAGGGGAAGGUUCGUCCGCCCUGGGUUAGUCGGGACCUAAGCUGAGGCCGAAAGGCGUAGGUGAUGGACAACAGGUUGAUAUUCCUGUACUACCGAUAACCGUUUGAGAGAAGGGAUGACACAGUAGGAUAAGCUAAGCACACUGUUGGUUAUGUGUGCCCAAGCAUUGAGGCAGUCAAAGUAGGCAAAUCCGCUUUGAUAAUGCUGGGAUGUGAUGGGGAGCGAAAUUUAGUAGCGAAGUAGCUGAUUUCACACUGUCAAGAAAAGUCUCUAUCGAGGUUAAAGGUACCCGUACCGCAAACCGACACAGGUGGGUGAGGAGAGUAUCCUAAGGCCAGCGAGAGAACUGUUGUUAAGGAACUCGGCAAAAUGACCCCGUAACUUAGGGAUAAGGGGUGCCACCAUCAGGUGGCCGCAGAGAAUAGGCCCAAGCGACUGUUUACCAAAAACAUAGGUUUCUGCUAAGUCGCAAGACGAUGUAUAGGAGCUGACGCCUGCCCGGUGCUGGAAGGUUAAGGGGAUCUGUUAGAGCAAUCGAAGCAGUGAACUUAAGCCCCAGUAAACGGCGGCCGUAACUAUAACGGUCCUAAGGUAGCGAAAUUCCUUGUCGGGUAAGUUCCGACCCGCACGAAAGGCGUAACGAUUUGGGCACUGUCUCAACAACAGACUCGGUGAAAUUGUAAUUCCGGUGAAGAUGCCGGAUACCUGCGACAGGACGGAAAGACCCCAUGGAGCUU